GAUAUUCCGCUACGAAUAGCAGCUAUUUUACUAAUAGUGUUUCAUAUUAGAAUGGGAAGUUUUUCUAUUUCCUUUAUUAGACUGAAUUAGUAAAGUAACUAUUACUAAUGUACAGUUUAUUAUUGCCAAGAAUCAGGGCUUUAAAUUUGAGUCUUAACAUAAAUCACACACACACACGCCCGUAACCUGUAUUUUAUUUUUCUAGUCCACACUCAGGGUCGAUUUGACUAUGAAUGUUCAGCCUGUAGCGCUCUGUGUGUUUUUGUGCGUGUUUGUGGUCGGGGAAAAACAUUACGUCUGCUUCAUCUCCUUCCCGCUUCAAGCUAUAAUCUCUCUCUCUCACACUCACACACACACUUGUAGAGCAGAGCUUUCUACUGAGAGAGAAGAGAGGGAAAGGGUCCGGAGGGGUGGACAAAAUAACAGGGACACUUGCGCAGUCUAACGCAACAGCUCUGCAACGCACCCUGCUCUGCCAACAUUGUAAUUACUGUGAGCACAGGUAAAUGUGGGUCCAGAGAAUCGUUACGUCGUCAGGUGUCCCUGUUAUUUUGUCCACCCCGCCCAUGUGUAAAGACAGAGGGCUGUGAAUGUGCUUUUAGCCGGAUGAAACCAGCCUGUUGCUCCUCUGCUUUGUUUGCUGCUCAACAGCAAUUACAUUAAUGGCUUACACACACACACACACACACACUUGUACUGGUAUACUUGUGAGGACCCUCAUUGACAUAAUGUAUCCUUGAACCUUAACUUAAACCUAAUUCUGACCUUGGCCCUAAAACCAAGUCAUAACCAAACGGACAUUUUCCAAAAACGUCCCCACUUUACGAAAAAGACCUUCCUUUUUGGAAAUGUCCGCAAUUGACUAAAAAAUGUUUGAGAAAUGUCUUAACCUUGCAAAUAUGUCGUCACCCUCCUAAAAUGUUCCCACUUUCUUAAAGAUCUCCUCAUUUGCCAAAAAAAGUUCCUCGAAAUGUCUGCGCAUUACAAAAACGUCCUCGCCUUUCAAAAAGGUUCCGCUCUCUCUAAAAUGUUCUCGCUCUCCGAAAAUGCUGUGACUCUACAAAAACGUCCUCAGUCCAAAGGUCUAAUGCUGCUACGAGGACGAGGUCGCUGGCGACACCGUUGGCCGUAGAGUUACGGUCAUCCCCCGAGUUCCCCUCGACUCGGGGUCCACGAAAAGUCUUCGCCACGCUCGCUCUGUGGAAGGCACACCUGCUCUUUCCAUCCCAGACAGGUGAGGGACUCCAACCAGCAACCUUCAGGUGACGGACGGCCUCGGGCGGCGGAAGGUCAGACUGGGGAGCACAGAGAGCUAGCCCUGAGGGAACUCACUAUUGUGCUGACAACAAGCUGCAAAGCUCAUGGGACCUCAGAAAUGACGUUUUGCCUCAUCGGGACCAGGCUGUGGUUCCCAUGAGGACUACUGGUACCGACAAGGUCCCAAAGAGGUAACAGAA